UGCGACCCCAGGUCAGCGGGGCUACCCGCUGAGUUUAAGCAUAU
rnacentral:rRNA from 1 species